rnacentral:rRNA from 1 species
AUUGAACGCUGGCGGCAUGCCUUACACAUGCAAGUCGAACGGCAGCACGGGAGCAAUCCUGGUGGCGAGUGGCGAACGGGUGAGUAAUACAUCGGAACGUGCCCAGUAGUGGGGGAUAGCCCGGCGAAAGCCGGAUUAAUACCGCAUACGACCUACGGGUGAAAGCGGGGGAUCGCAAGACCUCGCGCUAUUGGAGCGGCCGAUGGCAGAUUAGCUUGUUGGUGGGGUAAAGGCCUACCAAGGCGACGAUCUGUAGCUGGUCUGAGAGGACGACCAGCCACACUGGGACUGAGACACGGCCCAGACUCCUACGGGAGGCAGCAGUGGGGAAUUUUGGACAAUGGGCGAAAGCCUGAUCCAGCCAUGCCGCGUGCGGGAAGAAGGCCUUCGGGUUGUAAACCGCUUUUGUCAGGGAAGAAACGGCUUAAUCUAAUAAAUUGAGCUAAUGACGGUACCUGAAGAAUAAGCACCGGCUAACUACGUGCCAGCCGCCGCAGUAACAC